rnacentral:rRNA from 1 species
GGAAUAUUGGUCAAUGGGCGAGAGCCUGAACCAGCCAAGUAGCGUGCAGGAAGACGGCCCUAUGGGUUGUAAACUGCUUUUAUACGGGGAUAAAGUGAGGGACGUGUCCCUUAUUGUAGGUACCGUAUGAAUAAGGACCGGCUAAUUCCGUGCCAGCAGCCGCGGUAAUACGGAAGGUCCGGGCGUUAUCCGGAUUUAUUGGGUUUAAAGGGAGCGUAGGCCGUCGUUUAAGCGUGUUGUGAAAUGUAGGCGCCCAACGUCUGCACUGCAGCGCGAACUGGAUGACUUGAGUACGCAGGAAGCAGGCGGAAUUCGUCGUGUAGCGGUGAAAUGCUUAGAUAUGACGAAGAACUCCGAUUGGGAAGCCAGCCUGCUGUAGCGCCACUGACGCUGAUGCUCGAAAGCGUGGGUAUCGAACA